rnacentral:tRNA from 1 species
AACAAAAAAGCUAAGUAGCGAUAAAUUGUAAAUUUAUAUUAAUAUUAAAAAUAUUUUUGUUAG